UUGCUCUCUUCAGCAGCACAUCUAUUAAAACUGAAACAAUACAGAAAAGAUUAGCAUGACCCCUGGGAAAGGAUGAUACUCAAAUUUGUGAAGUGCUCCAUAUUUUU